UAGAAACAAUGAGAGCGAUGACUCAAUGACUUCUGAUGCAUCCUCAUGGCCUAGCACUCAUCAGCCUCCAAGAAACACCAAGAAUCAUGUAGCUGCAAAGAAUAGUAAUACCAAACAAGUCAACCAUCAGACAGAGAACAACAGAGUUCGUUCCAGAUUCAGCGACCAAGGAGAGGAAUCUGAGCUCAAUGCUAGAACAAGAACAACUCAAGCUAGUCGUGUUAAAAGUAGAAGCAAGGUGAGCAAAACCAAAUAAGUCAAUCUCUCAUACUGGUUUUUUUUUUUUUUUGUAAUUUCUUUAAGCUAUCUCCAAUGUUCUCUUCUGCUAAAAACUUAUGCAGUUGAUACGCAAUUCAGACUAUUAUGUAGUUGUCUCUACCCUCUUCAUUUUGAGAUGUAUGUGUCAUUUGCAUUGCUUUCUUGAAAAACAGGAUUAUGUUUUUUGUUUAAUGCAAACUCCGUUCAUGUUUUCCGUUUGGAGCUAUGCUAAUAAUAUCUACCUUUUACACAUAUACUCCGUUCUAACACAAAACGGGAACAUAUGUUAUUUCUAAUCUAACCUCUUCAAGAAAGGAGCAAUCAAGAAGGUAAUGCCAGGAAGUUAAAAAAAAAAAUCAAUAAUCCAUAGCCAUUGAAAAGCAAACGUGUUAACAAAUUUUACUCAUAUCAAUUAAUUUCGUAAAAAAUCAGAUCCAAACGAUUUGAGUUUUGGUAUAAAACAAAGAGGCUGAUGACAAAACAGGAGUUUCUAAGGUUACCAGAUUGUUCCCAUAGGUGUGGCCCCAAAGUAGUAUAGCUAACACACCAAAGCUUUGCCUCUUAACAAAGACUCCUGCUGCUUUCAAUGCCUUCACAUGAUUCUUUUUUUUUUGUAAAGAAAGAACAAAUUUCAAUCAUUCAAGAUAUGUCAUUAUCAAAACACUUUCACAAAACUUUCAUAAAUUACUAUUUUCACAACAGCAAAAAAAUAGUUAAAAGAUGAUUCUAAUUAACCUGAUUGUGAUAUUAGUUCUUCUCCACUUUUAUUUCAAUCACAUAUAUACAAUAGCUUCUGUCUAUUCACAACAGUAAAUAGAAAGAAGUUAAGGGUUUUCAAAAGUCAAAGAUAUGGUAAUUUUCAAUCAAUAAUACAGUUUUAAGAGUGUUGGAAAAUGACUGAAAAUUAAGUUUAAGCUUAUUAUUGAGGUUAUAAUGAAAUUUGUGGAACAGAAAACAACAAAAGAGUUUUAGCUGGCAGCUUGCUAAGAGAGGACCGUCCUCACGUAGAUGUGAUUCUCAAGUCACUUUCCACAUUGUAAUCUCAAAUCAACCAUGCACGUGCAUAAGCAAUAAACAGGUAGAUGAUAAUGAAAUAAGGGUCGUCCAAUCUAAUUCUAUGACCCACAAAAUGUGAGAGAGAAUGUGACUUUUGUAAAAUUGCACAACACUUUGGACCUGGUCUACCAAUUUUCAACUCCACGAUUACCAAACCGAGCAAGGUGAAGAACCAAGCGUUUCGGUCAA
rnacentral:lncRNA from 1 species